rnacentral:rRNA from 13 species
UUGAAGAGUUUGAUCAUGGCUCAGAUUGAACGCUGGCGGCAGGCCUAACACAUGCAAGUCGAACGGUAACAGGAUGUGCUUGCACAUCGCUGACGAGUGGCGGACGGGUGAGUAAUGCUUGG